rnacentral:rRNA from 1 species
CGACGAGUUUGAUCCUGGCUCAGAUUGAACGCUGGCGGCAUGCUUUACACAUGCAAGUCGAACGGUAACGGGGACUUCGGUCUGCCGACGAGUGGCGAACGGGUGAGUAAUAUAUCGGAACGUGCCCAGUAAUGGGGGAUAGCUCGGCGAAAGCCGGAUUAAUACCGCAUACGCCCUGAGGGGGAAAGUGGGGGAUCUUCGGACCUCACGUUAUUGGAGCGGCCGAUAUCAGAUUAGCUAGUUGGUGGGGUAAAGGCCUACCAAGGCGACGAUCUGUAGCUGGUCUGAGAGGAUGAUCAGCCACACUGGGACUGAGACACGGUCCAGACUCCUACGGGAGGCAGCAGUGGGGAAUUUUGGACAAUGGGCGCAAGCCUGAUCCAGCCAUGCCGCGUGAGUGAAGAAGGCCUUCGGGUUGUAAAGCUCUUUCAGCCGGGAAGAAAACGCAUGGGUUAAUACCCUGUGUGGAUGACGGUACCGGAAUAAGAAGCACCGGCUAACUACGUG